UACGUAGGGGGCAAGCGUUAUCCGGAUUUACUGGGUGUAAAGGGAGCGUAGACGGCGAGGCAAGUCUGGAGUGAAAGCCCGGGGCUCAACCCCGGGACUGCUUUGGAAACUGCCGGGCUGGAGUGCAGGAGAGGUAAGCGGAAUUCCUAGUGUAGCGGUGAAAUGCGUAGAUAUUAGGAGGAACACCAGUGGCGAAGGCGGCUUACUGGACUGUAACUGACGUUGAGGCUCGAAAGCGUGGGGAGCAAAAAGG
rnacentral:rRNA from 1 species